rnacentral:rRNA from 1 species
UGUCUCUUAAUUGGGGGCUGGAAUGAAUGAGGCGACGAAAUCUAGGCUAUCUAAGUUUUAAAUUAAAUUGACAAAGAGGUCAAAAGGCCUGUGUGGACCAAGGGGACGAUAAGACCCUAUAAAACUUUACUUUUAGUGUGGGGUCUGACGGGGUGUUUUUACAUUUAAAAGUUUUACUGGGGCGGUAGUUAUAAAAACAAUUAGAUAUAAAAUAUAUUAAAUAGUGUAAAAGAACUCUUUUGAGAAAUAGAACAAGUUACUUUAGGGAUAACAGCGUAAUCCCCCCAGAGAGUCCUAAUUGGCGGGGGGGCUUACGACCUCGAUGUUGAAUUGGGGUCUCUUGUAUAAGCAGGCAUAUAU